rnacentral:rRNA from 1 species
UACGUAGGUGGCAAGCGUUGUCCGGAUUUACUGGGCGUAAAGCGCGUGUAGGCGGUUGUCCAAGUUGGAUGUGAAAGCCUUGAGCUUAACUCAAGAAAUGCAUUCAGGACUGGAUGACUAGAGGACCGGAGAGGAUAGUGGAAUUCCCAGUGUAGUGGUGAAAUGCGUAGAUAUCGAGAGGAACACCUGCGGCGAAGGCGGGUUGCUGGGCUGACACUGACGCUGAAGCGCGAAAGCUAGGGGAGCGAACGGG